rnacentral:lncRNA from 1 species
GUGGCUGAGGCAUGGCACCAAAAAAAAAAAAAAAAAGGCAUUUCAAAGGUCCUUGUUAAGCUGCCCUGUGCAAUACAGCAAAUCCAGGCUGGUGGUGCAUUUUCAGUCAUGGCUCAGCAGGUAGGAUUUGGAGGGGGUGGUGGUGGUGUUAAUGCAGAUGCUUCACCUCAGAGGACACCAGGAAAAGACGGUGUGGUUGAUGUGGUCAUCUUCUCAUAGAGCAAGCACAAUCUGUCGCUUCCAUCAAUCCCCUGAUCUCAAAAUCGAGGUGAUACCUGAUUUCUGUGCAGAAUGGUGUGUGUGGCCCUAAUUUAGGCACCUGGCGGGGCGAUGCUCAUGGUGGGCACAGGGCUGGGAGAGAGGGGGUGCUGGGAGGGGUCAGAAAAGGCUCGGGAUUGUGUUUGUGCUCUGGGAGUAUGUGGGGAGCAGGGGGCAGGGGUAGGCAGUGAGCAGGACUUCCUGGGUGGAGGAAAAGUGAGGAGAGAAUUGGCUUUUGUUUCUUCUUCCACAUAAAAGCUUUGCUGCAGUGCAGAAGGAAGAAGGGGAGUAUUUUCAGCUGUGAGGGGGUCCUUCCUGAGAGACCCUGGCUAAACCUGGGAAGAAAUAUCAGAGAUCUCGGCUCUACCUGGUUUCACGUGGCAGGUUACCUGAGGAACAGACAUCUAGCAGUGAGAGUUCAAUCCUGUCUACUUGAACAGCUUUCUGCCUACAAACAAGGCCUUUCAGCUGCCUGGGGUCAAAAACAGGUGAGAGCUGCCAGCAGUCAAGGUGCUGUGAGCCAGCAGGCCCUGCACAGCCAUCGUGGGACACUGGUUUCAGGCCAGCUGGGUCUUGUGGGUCAUGCUGUGAAUCUCCCAGGAGGACACAGGUGCCUGAAGAGACACCAAAGUCCUGCUGUGAGGUGCGUGUCUUAUACCUACUCUGUUUGAGACUGGCAUUUUUGGCACCUACAAGCAAGAGCCUUCUGACCAUGUACCCUCUUGCACGAAUGUCAGCCAAGUAAUAAGCGGCACGAAUGCAGCCAAACUGUGUUUAGGAGCCACAGGCAGACUGUCUGAAGCAGACUUUGUUCCAUCUUCUUUGUGGCUGGAGGGAAAAAAUGCCAUAGGCAGCUUUUU